rnacentral:rRNA from 1 species
GGAUGAGCCCGCGGCCUAUCAGCUUGUUGGUGGGGUAAUGGCCUACCAAGGCGACGACGGGUAGCCGGCCUGAGAGGGUGACCGGCCACACUGGGACUGAGAUACGGCCCAGACUCCUACGGGAGGCAGCAGUGGGGAAUAUUGCACAAUGGGCGCAAGCCUGAUGCAGCGACGCCGCGUGAGGGAUGACGGCCUUCGGGUUGUAAACCUCUUUCAAUAGGGACGAAGCGCAAGUGACGGUACCUAUAGAAGAAGGACCGGCCAACUACGUGCCAGCAGCCGCGGUAAUACGUAGGGUCCGAGCGUUGUCCGGAAUUACUGGGCGUAAAGAGCUCGUAGGUGGUUUGUCGCGUUGUUCGUGAAAACUCACAACUCAAUUGUGGGCGUGCGGGCGAUACGGGCAGACUAGAGUACUGCAGGGGAGACUGGAAUUCCUGGUGUAGCGGUGGAAUGCGCAGAUAUCAGGAGGAACACCGGUGGCGAAGGCGGGUCUCUGGGGCAGUAACUGACGCUGAGGAGCGAAAGCGUGGGGAGCGAACAGGAUUAGAUACCCUGGUAGUCCACGCCGUAAACGGUGGGUACUAGGUGUGGGUUCCUUCCUUGGGAUCCGUGCCGUAGCUAACGCAUUAAGUACCCCGCCUGGGGAGUACGGCCGCAAGGCUAAAACUCAAAGAAAUUGACGGGGGCCCGCACAAGCGGCGGAGCAUGUGGAUUAAUUCGAUGCAACGCGAAGAACCUUACCUGGGUUUGACAUGCACAGGACGCCGGCAGAGAUGUCGGUUCCCUUGUGGCCUGUGUGCAGGUGGUGCAUGGCUGUCGUCAGCUCGUGUCGUGAGAUGUUGGGUUAAGUCCCGCAACGAGCGCAACCCCUAUCUUAUGUUGCCAGCGCGUUAUGGCGGGGACUCGUAAGAGACUGCCGGGGUCAACUCGGAGGAAGGUGGGGAUGACGUCAAGUCAUCAUGCCCCUUAUGUCCAGGGCUUCACACAUGCUACAAUGGCCGGUACAAAGGGCUGCGAAUCCGCGAGGUGGAGCGAAUCCCUUGAAAGCCGGUCUCAGUUCGGAUCGGGGUCUGCAACUCGACCCCGUGAAGUUGGAGUCGCUAGUAAUCGCAGAUCAGCAACGCUGCGGUGAAUACGUUCCCGGGCCUUGUACACACCGCCCGUCACGUCAUGAAAGUCGGUAACACCCGAAGCCGGUGGCCUAACCCUUGUGGAGGGAGCCGUCGAAGGUGGGGCUGG